rnacentral:rRNA from 1 species
UACGUAGGGGGCAAGCGUUGUCCGGAAUCAUUGGGCGUAAAGAGCGCGUAGGCGGCCCUGUAAGUCCGCUGUGAAAGUCAAGGGCUCAACCCUUGAAUGCCGGUGGAUACUGCAGGGCUAGAGUCCGGAAGAGGCGAGUGGAAUUCCUGGUGUAGCGGUGAAAUGCGUAGAUAUCAGGAGGAACACCCGUGGCGAAGGCGGCUCUCUGGAUCGGCCCUGACGCUGAGGCGCGAAAGCGUGGGGAGCGAACGGG